UAUGUUUGGUGGGGCUUUUUUGCUCCCCUGCUUAUAAGCACAAGAGCAACAACCGUUUGGUGAGUGAGCUUAUCCUCAGCUUUUGGAAAAAGCUGCCCCAGCUUCUAUCGAAAAGCAGAAGCUGGCUCCCCCCAGCUUUUAGAAGCCAGAAGCUCGCUGAGCACUGUAGCGGUGUUUACUGUACAUUAAUGAAUUUUUUUAAAUCCCGGUUUCUACCCUCCUUUGGUUGAACCAAUUACAGUCAUCUACCAUCAAACCCUCGAUGUAUCAGUAUCUCGAUCUCCUUCUCCAUCUAAUCACAGAACGCAUCACAGUCGACGCCUCUCGAUCUCCCUCUAAUCACAUAACCCAUCAGUCGCUGCAUCUCGGUGGCCGCAUCUCGAUCUCCCUCUAAUCACAGAACCCAUCAGUCGCCGCCUCUCGAUCUCCCUCUAACGCUGCUUCACUUGCAUCUCAUCAGGAUUUCAGAAGUGAAAUUGAAGCCUCAAUCAAGCAAGGCUACUUGACAAUUUCGAUAUUCAGGUCCGAGACAACAUUUUCAACAAUACCGUAGGCAAGAACCAAGAAAUGAAAAAGAGGUAUUUAACCAAGCACACUCUUCUCUUAGAAGUGUUAUAGAACGCACAUUUGGAGUUUGGAAAAAAAAGUGGAAGAUUUUAAGGGACAUGCAAGGUUAUUCAUUUGAUAAGCAAGUGCAGAUUGUCAUUGCCACCAUGGCACUUCAUAAUUAUAUACGGAGACAUGCACACGAUGAUAGACAUUUUGUCCGCAGUGAAGAAAGAGAAGGUUAUGGGUAAAAAGUGGUGGGAUAGAAAUGGAUGAUGAUGUAGAAGAAGAAUAUCAUGGUCACGGUGCACAAGAAAUGGAAACAAUAAGAAAUAGCAUUACUCAAAGUUUGAUGAAUGCGCGUAAUAACGUGAACAUUUGAUGUGAACCAGAAACCAAUUGUUAUUAAUGUUAUUACUAUUUUUGUGUAA